CCCUUUGUGGUGUAGUUGGUAUCACACCGGACUGUAAUAGCUGCAAUCAUCCGUUGGUCACCAGUUCGACUCUGGUCGGAGGGA